rnacentral:snRNA from 1 species
AUACCUUUCUCGGCCUUUUGGCUAAGAUCAAGUGUAAUAUAUGUUCUUAUCAGUUUAAUAUCUGAUACGUGAAUCAAUGGUUCACAUGAUAUUAAGUAAUUUUUUUAGGGGGAAGGGUCUAUGCUACUGGGAUCCUUGUGUGUUGCCCAAGCGUUGCAUUAUUGCUCGGGCUGGUGCACCCCAC